UGCCAUAUAUGAAAUUUCCCCCCCUUUUUUUUUAUCCCAGCCCAACUCUUUUAUUCCCUUAACCCGACCCAACCGCUUACCCCUUAAACCCAGUAGCGUCAACAGUUGCGCGAGUGAGACAACGACAUAUUUCAGUGGUCUAACGCAUGCAAAACGGUUCCAAUGUUCUCAAACGUUAAUGGAGCAGCGCGUAUGGAUCCACUCUCGACGACCAGCAGCAAUAUGCAACUUUUCGCCUGCAAGAAUCGUCCUUGCAGCUGGGUCCGUUUGUCCUUAUGGCUAAGGGAUGAUGACACACAACAACUCGAGGACAAGCCUGAAGAAUCGGAGCCAUCCAUGCUGCUGCCAAGUCCAGAUCCUGUGGGAUUUGGACAUUUUCCUGUUCCACUGUUCAAUCCUCGUCGUCCAUGGAGCUUAAGUAUAGUAUAAAGUCCCAAGCAACACAACUAUUUCUUCUAUGGUGCCAGACUAUUAGGAUGAGUCUCUAGAGAAAUAUGUCCUUCAGAAUAAGAGAGAUGAACCUAUAUUUUUGUUAAUUUUCCGUUUGAAGACAAUGUAGAAAGAGCCCCAAAGGUGUUCUAAUUUGUCAAAUGAGCAGACUGCUUGGAAGCUUUGCAAGGACUAGGCUGAACUUAAAAUGUUGAGUCAAAAAAGAGAAGAUGCUGAAAAUGUUCACCGGGAAAUAUAAAUGUUGGAAGAAAACACCAUAAAGAGGAUUAUGGAGAUGGAGUAAGCGUUGGUUAAUUCUGGUUUCAUGAUUGAGACAAUUAAUUCUGAUUAUGGAGAUGGAGUAAGCAUUAGUAAAAACUAAUAGAUACAUAUAUCUUGAUAAACUGACAUAAACUAAAUAUUAUGAACAAUGCCCCUUAGAAAGCAUGGAAUUGUGCUUUGGACCGCUGGUACAAGCUGAAAGAUCUGUCCACACGACAAGGGUUCAAUCUCAGGUGGAGCCUCUUUUUUAACAUAAUAUUAGUGCACUCGAAAUCUUCAUA